rnacentral:rRNA from 1 species
GGGCCCGCACAAGCGGUGGAUUAUGUGGUUUAAUUCGAAGCAACGCGAAGAACCUUACCAGGUCUUGACAUACCGAUAAAAGCCCUAGAGAUAGGGAAAUAGCUAUAUUGGAUACAGGUGGUGCAUGGUUGUCGUCAGCUCGUGUCGUGAGAUGUUGGGUUAAGUCCCGCAACGAGCGCAACCCUUGUCUUUAGUUACCAUCAUUAAGUUGGGGACUCUAGAGAAACUGCCGGUGACAAACCGGAGGAAGGUGGGGAUGACGUCAAAUCAUCAUGCCCCUUAUGACCUGGGCUACACACGUAAUACAAUGGCGUAUACAGAGGGAUGCGAAGCAGUGAUGUGGAGCGAAACUCACAAAGUACGUCUCAGUUCGGAUUGAAGUCUGCAACUCGACUUCAUGAAGUUGGAAUCGCUAGUAAUCGCGGAUCAGCAUGCCGCGGUGAAUACGUUCUCGGGCCUU